CCCUUGAGAGUGGCGAACGGGUGAGUAAUAUAUCGGAACGUGCCCAGUCGUGGGGGAUAACGUAGCGAAAGUUACGCUAAUACCGCAUACGAUCUAAGGAUGAAAGCGGGGGAUCGCAAGACCUCGCGCGAUUGGAGCGGCCGAUAUCAGAUUAGGUAGUUGGUGGGGUAAAGGCUCACCAAGCCAACGAUCUGUAGCUGGUCUGAGAGGACGACCAGCCACACUGGAACUGAGACACGGUCCAGACUCCUACGGGAGGCAGCAGUGGGGAAUUUUGGACAAUGGACGCAAGUCUGAUCCAGCCAUUCCGCGUGCAGGAUGAAGGCCCUCGGGUUGUAAACUGCUUUUGUACGGAACGAAAAGGUUUCCAUUAAUACUGGGAGCUCAUGACGGUACCGUAAGAAUAAGCACCGGCUAACUACGUGCCAGCAGCCGCGGUAAUACGUAGGGUGCAAGCGUUAAUCGGAAUUACUGGGCGUAAAGCGUGCGCAGGCGGUUAUAUAAGACAGAUGUGAAAUCCCCGGGCUCAACCUGGGA
rnacentral:rRNA from 1 species